UACGUAGGGUGCAAGCGUUGUCCGGAAUUAUUGGGCGUAAAGAGCUUGUAGGCGGUUUGUCGCGUCUGCUGUGAAAUUUCGGGGCUCAACCCCCGAACUUGCAGUGGGUACGGGCAGACUAGAGUGUGGUAGGGGAGACUGGAAUUCCUGGUGUAGCGGUGAAAUGCGCAGAUAUCAGGAGGAACACCGAUGGCGAAGGCAGGUCUCUGGGCCACUACUGACGUGAGAAGCGAAAGCAUGGGGAGCGAACAGG
rnacentral:rRNA from 1 species